GGAUGAACGCUAGCGGCAGGCUUAACACAUGCAAGUCGAGGGGCAACACGGGUAGCAAUACCUGGUGGCGACCGGCGCAAGGGUGCGUAACGCGUGAGCAACAUGCCCUAUACAGGGGGAUAAUCCAGGGAAACUUGGUCUAAUAUCCCAUAGUAUUUAGAGGUGGCAUCACCACUAAAUUAAAGCUUCGGUGGUAUAGGAUUGGCUCGCGUGACAUUAGCUGGAUGGUGGGGUAACGGCUCACCAUGGCGAUGAUGUCUAGGGGUUCUGAGAGGAAGACCCCCCACACUGGGACUGAGACACGGCCCAGACUCCUACGGGAGGCAGCAGUGAGGAAUAUUGGACAAUGGAUGGAAAUCUGAUCCAGCCAUGCCGCGUGCAGGAAGACGGCCCUAUGGGUUGUAAACUGCUUUUAUAUGGGAGCAAUAAGGUUUACGCGUAGACCGAUGAGAGUACCAUAUGAAUAAGCAUCGGCUAACUCCGUGCCAGCAGCCGCGGUAAUACGGAGGAUGCGAGCGUUAUCCGGAUUUAUUGGGUUUAAAGGGUGCGUAGGCGGCCUUGUAAGUCAGCGGUGAAAUUUUGCAGCUUAACUGUAACAGUGCCGUUGAUACUGCGGGGCUAGGAUUUGGUUGCUGUGGGUGGAAUGUGUGGUGUAGCGGUGAAAUGCUUAGAUAUCACACAGAAUAUCGAUUGCGAAGGCAGCUCACAAAGCCAAGAUUGACGCUGAGGCACGAAAGUGUGGGGAUCAAACAGGAUUAGAUACCCUGGUAGUCCACACUGUAAACGAUGAUAACUCGCUGCCGGCGAUACACAGUCGGUAGCCAAGCGAAAGCGAUAAGUUAUCCACCUGGGGAGUACGACCGCAAGGUUGAAACUCAAAGGAAUUGACGGGGGCCCGCACAAGCGGAGGAACAUGUGGUUUAAUUCGAUGAUACGCGAGGAACCUUACCCGGGCUUGAAAUGCAGACGACCGACAGGGAAACUUGUCUUCCAGCAAUGGUGUCUGUGUAGGUGCUGCAUGGUUGUCGUCAGCUCGUGCCGUGAGGUGUCGGCUUAAGUGCCAUAACGAGCGCAACCCUUGCCAUUAGUUGCUAACAGGUUAAGCUGAGAACUCUAAUGGGACUGCCAUCGUAAGAUGCGAGGAAGGUGGGGAUGACGUCAAAUCAGCACGGCCCUUACGUCCGGGGCGACACACGUGUUACAAUGGGUGGUACAGAGGGUUGCUACCUGGUGACAGGAUGCUAAUCUCUUAAAUCCACUCUCAGUUCGGAUCGAAGUCUGCAACCCGACUUCGUGAAGCUGGAUUCGCUAGUAAUCGCGCAUCAGCCAUGGCGCGGUGAAUACGUUCCCGGGCCU
rnacentral:rRNA from 1 species